GACGAACCGUGCGAACGUUAUUCGGAAUCACUGGGCUUAAAGCGCGUGUAGGCGGGCCGCCACGUCGGCUGCUGAAAUCCCCCGGCUCAACCGGGGAAGGGGCGCCGAUACGACCGGCCUGGAGGGGCGUAGGGGGACCUGGAACUUCCGGUGGAGCGGUGAAAUGCGUUGAGAUCGGAAGGAACGCCCGUGGCGAAAGCGAGGUCCUGGACGCCAUCUGACGCUGAGACGCGAAAGCCAGGGGAGCGAACGG
rnacentral:rRNA from 1 species